rnacentral:tRNA from 1 species
GCCUGGGUGGCUCAGUGGUUGAGCAUCUGCCUUCGGCUCAGGUUGUGAUCCCAGGGUUCUGGGAUCGAGUCCCACAUCAGGCU